GCUUGUCUCAAAGAUUAAGCCAUGCAUGUCUAAGUAUAACUCUUUUACUUUGAAAACUGCGAACGGCUCAUUAUAUCAGUUAUAGUUUCUUUGAUAGUCCCUUACUACUUGGAUACCCGUAGUAAUUCUAGAGCUAAUACAUGCAUCAAUACCCAACUGUUCGCGGAAGGGUAGUAUUUAUUAGGUAUAGACCAACCCUCUUCGGAGGUGCUUUGGUGAUUCAUAAUAACUUUACGAAUCUUUUCUUUUGAAAAGAUGAUUCAUUCAAAUUUCUGCCCUAUCAGCUUUGAUGGUAAGGUAUUGGCUUACCAUGGCAAUAACGGGUGACGGGGAAUUAGGGUUUGAUUCCGGAGAGGGAGCCUGAGAAACGGCUACCACUUCUAAGGAAGGCAGCAGG
rnacentral:rRNA from 1 species